UACGUAGGGUGCAAGCGUUGUCCGGAAUUAUUGGGCGUAAAGAGCUCGUAGGCGGUUCGUCGCGUCGGCUGUGAAAACCUGAGGCUCAACCUCAGGCCUGCAGUCGAUACGGGCGGACUUGAGUACUGCAGGGGAGACUGGAAUUCCUGGUGUAGCGGUGAAAUGCGCAGAUAUCAGGAGGAACACCGGUGGCGAAGGCGGGUCUCUGGGCCGAAAUUGACGCUGAGGAGCGAAAGCGUGGGGAGCAAACAGG
rnacentral:rRNA from 1 species